AAUGAAUCUCGUCUGAUCUGGGUUUCAUAUGGUAGAUUUGCAAAGCUUUUGUUCUCGUUUUCCUUCAAGUAUGAGUGUAAUUUCAUGAUCUGGGUUUCAUAUAUUAGAUUCAUAAGUAUUUUAUUAUCCUUUCCCGAGUAUCUUGAGUGUAAUGUCACGAUGAUGGUCAUAUCCUUUAUCUUACUGCUAUUUUGUGGGCUAUACAGAAUUCCACUUGGGAUGUUUUUAUUAUUAAUAGUCCCUUCUGGUUCUUUUGGUCAAGGUAUUUUUCUGUAAGUGGGUCAUAUCCUAUAUUCUUCUAGGUAGAAGGUUGACCAGUUAGAUAUAAGCUUUUUUAAGAAAUUGCUUGUAUAGCCAAGGUAUGAAAAUUGGUACUGAGAAGUUAGUGUCCAUUCAACACAUGCUUUAUGAAUGAUUGGAUGCCCAUGACUUUUAUUUAUGGUUCCAUCUAGGAUGUUGUUUGUUCUGUCACUCCACAUCUUUGUUUACUGCACUGAAUCAUUGUUCCAAGUAACCACAUUUCUUGCAAUAUUUCUGUGUUGCAUGCACUUCAGCUGGCAGAAG
rnacentral:lncRNA from 1 species